rnacentral:rRNA from 1 species
UUCGGGUUGUAAAGUUCUUUCGGUGAUGAGGAAGGUGUGAUGGCUAAUACCCAUUACAAUUGACGUUAGUCACAGAAGAAGCACCGGCUAACUCCGUGCCAGCAGCCGCGGUAAUACGGAGGGUGCGAGCGUUAAUCGGAAUAACUGGGCGUAAAGGGCACGCAGGCGGUUGUUUAAGUGAGGUGUGAAAGCCCCGGGCUCAACCUGGGAAUUGCAUUUCAGACUGGACAACUAGAGUACUUUAGGGAGGGGUAGAAUUCCACGUGUAGCGGUGAAAUGCGUAGAGAUGUGGAGGAAUACCGAAGGCGAAGGCAGCCCCUUGGGAAUGUACUGACGCUCAUGUGCGAAAGCGUGGGGAGCAAACAGGAUUAGAUACCCUGGUAGUCCACGCCGUAAACGCUGUCGAUUUGGGGAUUGGGCUUUAAGCUUGGUGCCCGUAGCUAACGUGAUAAAUCGACCGCCU